UGGCGGACGGGUGAGUAAUGUCUGGGAAACUGCCUGAUGGAGGGGGAUAACUACUGGAAACGGUAGCUAAUACCGCAUAACGUCGCAAGACCAAAGGAGGGGACCGUUCGGGCCUCUUGCCAUCGGAUGUGCCCAGAUGGGAUUAGCUAGUAGGUGGGGUAACGGCUCACCUAGGCGACGAUCCCUAGCUGGUCUGAGAGGAUGACCAGCCACACUGGAACUGAGACACGGUCCAG
rnacentral:rRNA from 1 species